UUUUUUUACUUUGAGAAAAUUAGAGUGUUUAUCGCAGACUUUUGUCUUGAAUACUUCAGCAUGGAAUAAUAGAGUAGGACCUUGGUUCUAUUUUGUUGGUUUUUGAACCUUGGUAAUGGUUAAUAGGAACGGUUGGGGGCAUUGGUAUUUAACUGUCAGAGGUGAAAUUCUUAGAUUUGUUAAAGACGAACUACUGCGAAAGCAUUUGCCAAGGAUGUUUUCAUUAAUCAAGAACGAAAGUUAGGGGAUCGAAGA
rnacentral:rRNA from 1 species